rnacentral:rRNA from 1 species
AUUGAACGCUGGCGGCAGGCCUAACACAUGCAAGUCGAGCGGAGCGGCGGACGGGUGAGUAAUGCCUAGGAAUAUGCCUGGUAGCGGGGGGUAACGUCCGGAAACGGGCGCUAAUACCGCAUACUAUCAGAUGAGCCUAGGUCGGAUUAGCUAGUUGGUGUGUUAAAGGCCUACCAAGGCGACGAUCCGUAACUGGUCUGAGAGGAUGAUCAGUCACUCUGGAACUGAGACACGGUCCAGCCUCCUACGGGGGGCAGCAUUGGGGAAUAUUUGACAAUGGGCGAAAUCCUGAUCCAGCCAUGCCGCGUUUGUGUAGAAGGUCUUCGGUUUGUAAAGCACUUUAAGUUGGGAGGCGUUACCAACAGAAUAAGCACCGGCUAACUUCGUGCCAGCAGCCGCGGUAAUUC